GUUAAAAGUUCAGAUUAUCACCAUUUUUGCUAUUGGCAACUUGAUUUCAUCGUGUAACAAAUACAUGUAUAUUAAAAAAUAUGAUACUUUUAGUCUUGUUUUCUUAAAAAUGAAUUGUUAUUUGAUAUAACUACUUGCGCAAUGUAUGAUCCUGAUGGACUCCUUACAACUGUUCAAAGGUUAAAAUAAAAAAUCUAUUAAUGUAGGAUGAAAGAGAUCGUUUCUCGGAAAUGCAUUUGUUUGUCUAGUUACGCGAUGUUGCAUCCAAAUAUCUCAAAUAUUUCUUAUUGAAAAUAAAUUAAUAAUCUAUACGUUUUAUAGUCAGGAAUGGUCGGAAGGUUUCGAAAAGAACGGAAGAAAAAAUAAAAAAGAAGCGAUCUGUUGUUAGUUACAUCAGUUUAGUUUUGUUUGAAUCAGCGACAGCUAAUAGUUGCAAGAAGAAAAACUGACAUCAGAAUAAUUAGGUACAAGACACUCUUUAAACGGUUGUACUACCUGCACAAGCAUUGUAUUUUUUUUUCUUCACUAAUAACAGUGUUCAAUAAAAAUAAUUAGAUAAAACUUUCACAAAUCGCGCGAGCACUGUGGUUUCUUAAAAUUAUUUCUUUCGAAAAUACUUUCGCGUGGUUUGUAGAUUGUUGAAACGUUGUAUGCAACUAUCAAGAGGUAUAUGGUGCGUUAAAUAUAUAAUCAAGCUUAUGUACUGAUGAAAUCCAAUAUUAAAACGGAACAAGAAA
rnacentral:lncRNA from 1 species